ACUUCCCAUGCUGGCCUCACAGUGCAGCUACGUAAUGAGGGCAGGACGGACGCACACACACACGCACGCACGCACACACACACAUGGGGCCAAGCACGGCCCCACGGCUGAUUAGCGGCACACAAAGGCCCCAAACAGAAGUAGCAGAGGAUGCACAAUGGGAGCAGGGCCUCAAGGCGUGGUUUACUCCUGCCCCGAGGGAGGGGGCGAGAGAGGUAGAGAGACAGUGAGAGAGUGAGGGUCCCAAGGGGCUCAACCAGCAAAAAUGGACGGGGGGCUUGGUGGGGUUCGGGAAAGUGCCAAAAGCAGAGUUUUGUUUUUGUCUCGAUAAAGACAUGCAGCUCACAGCAGAAACAGAAUAAAUCAACAUCACGGCUUCGUUUAGCAGAACGUUAAAUGACAAAAAAAGUGCAACAAGACAGAA